rnacentral:lncRNA from 1 species
CGGCUAAGACACUACUCCUGCCAAAUACCCUGCAGUAGCGCACCGCGCUAUGUCUCCCUCCAGGGAUCUGUACCACUCCCAAUCCUGUUUCGUGCUGGGAUUGUAGUCUUGUAAACCUACAACUAACACCUGGGUGCGGAUAAGAGACUACAGCUCCCAUCAUUCCCAGCAAAGGGCCGUUCUGCACCGAGCUCUUUCAGGAUUCCAGUGCAGUUCCGCCAUGCGGAGGGAAGCUUGGCUGUUCACAAACCUCUCCUGCACUCGAGGAGACAGCUUGGCCGGGGCAGCUGAUCUCACCUUGUCAUUGUGACACGGUGUCUCCCCAACGUGCCGACUUCAUGACUUGUCGUGCCCAAAGUUUACUUUCUCGCAGAACCGGUAGAGGCCAAGAGCUUCUCAGAGCUUCCGCCGCAGGGUUGCCAUGAUUAACUCUUAAGUACUCCACGCUUCUGAAACGGGCGUAGGCACAGCGUCAGUUCUGUACAGUGCGGACGCAGCAGGACAGAAUCUCCCUGGGCAUCUUUCUGGAGCAUCAGUUUUACUGCAAGAUUUUAAGAAACAAAUUUAAUUGAUUUCCAAGUUAAGAAAUUAAACCUUGAAAACUAGACUAAAAAGUCAUCUGCACCUGACGUAACAGACUUUCUGCAGGAAGAAAACUCUAAGGAGAGCAUAUUGUCCAUUAUUAUAAAUAGUGAAAAUGAGAAAUCAUAGCAAGUCCCUUGAAAACCCUGCCCUGCCAGUCUU